AUUCAUCUUUAUAUUGUGCAAUUCCAGUUUUAAAUGAAAAUAUGAGCACUUGGCCAGGCACGGUGGCUCACGCCUGUGAUCCCAGCACUUUGGAAGGCCGAGGCUGGUGGAUCACGAGGUCAGGAGAUCAAGACCAUCCUGGCUAACACAGUGAAACCCCAUCUCUACUAAAAAUACAAAACAAAAAUUAGCCGGGCGUGGUGGCGGGCGCCUGUAGUCCCAGCUACUCGGGAGGCUGAGGCAGGAGAAUGGCGUGAACCUGGGAGGCAGAGCUUGCAGUGAGCCGAGAUCAUACCACUGUAUUCCAGCCUGGACGACAGAGCAAGACUCUGUCUCAAAGAAAAAAAAAAAAGAAAAAGAAAAUAUGAGCAUUUACUCAUGCAGAAUCACCAAAAUUACACAAUUUGUAUUUUAUAGCUUAUGUUUACAUACUGUAUGCAUAUGUAUUUCGUUCUUGCCACAACAGUAGAAACACUGUACAAAACUAACUCAACUGUUACUGUUUCACUUCUUAGUAUUUUCAGCAUAAGUGGUUGGCUAACACAGGAAUGUAUAUGAGUAAAAAAGGAUAUGAUAGGGCUCCUUCAUGAAUGACAUAGGUCAUUCAUGUUUCUUAGAAUGCCAUUGCCUUCUUUCUGUGUUUGAAGCCAGUCUGGUUCAGAUGGGAAGUGCAGCCUGUUGGGGCUCUCAGCAUCCCCCACUUACUCAGUUAUAGAUAUAAGAUGCUUACUUUGUACUCACUUUGAAUCUCUUCGAGCUCUGACACAUCAUGGGUCCAAUGGAGUUCUCUGCUCACAGGGGAUCACAAAGGCUACAUGUGAAUGGGGCGGUAAGGAACACUGGAUAUAUGUUGCACAUGUCUCCUCCGCUCAUGCAUAUAUUCUGUUGUCCCAUCAGACUUCACUUACAGAACACAGGUUCAAAGAUAAAAUACUGCCAGAAGAGCACUAAACUAAGUGUGAGGCCCUUCUGAGUAUGGGCCCUGUGUGACUGCACAGGUCACCCACCCAUGAAGCUGGCCCUGGUAAAGGAGGAGGGGAGCGCUUCUGGCAAAAGACCCAACAACAGGAGGUUAAGUGGGUUAAAUUGGGAAAAAACACCCAGGAAAUUUAUGUUUUGAAACUAAAGCAAUUAAAAUGGAAAUGGGCUAUAUUAUAAAUCAACUGCCCAGGAAAAAGACAUUAUGCUGGAGUCACAAAAUGAGAAUAAAUGGCAGAAUGCCUCAUGAUGCAUCGAUGUAGCUAAGAUUGUACAUAAAGUGCUACAUCAUCAUGCUGCUUGCAGGGAAGUAAGCAAGCCAAAGAUAGGAAUGAAAAGGGGCAGCCUGCACCUGAUAAUCCACAGAAUCUAGCCCUUAAAGCUGACAUGCACCAAUGCCACUAGAAUCAUGUGUAGAAAGUAAGAUACCCAGAUCCCCCUCCAGACAUACUAAAUCAAAAUUGCCAGGAAAGGUUCCAGCCAUCAAGAUUUUUAAUCAACUGAAGUGGUGACAAUGAUGCUCACCAAAUCUGAAAUUUGUUACUUAAUGGGUCUGGGUGGUUUUGCUUUUAUUGCAUGGAGAAUAAUUCAAAAUCUGUUUUUAUUCCAGUAAAGCAUAUAUAAUGACUAGAAUAGAAGGACCAAGGGACCUUUUUAGUUUCAGCAUAAAUGCGUGUAUUUUUCUAAACCUUUUAUUAUGGAGAGUUUUUAACAUUUACAAAGAUAGAAGAGCAUAAUGAAUCCCCAUGUAUCCAUCAUCCAGGUUCAUCAAUUGUCAACUCAUGACCAGGCAUGCCGUAGGUAGACCCAUAUUUACUCCUUCAGUUUUGUUUAAAUAAUUCUAUUCAAUUUAUC
rnacentral:lncRNA from 1 species